GUUAGUGGAAGCGUCUGGAAAGGCGUGCGAUACAGGGUGACAGCCCCGUACACAAAAAUGCACAUACUGUGAGCUCGAUGAGUAGGGCGGGACACGUGGUAUCCUGUCUGAAUAUGGGGGGACCAUCCUCCAAGGCUAAAUACUCCUGACUGACCGAUAGUGAACCAGUACCGUGAGGGAAAGGCGAAAAGAACCCCGGCGAGGGGAGUGAAAAAGAACCUGAAACCGUGUACGUACAAGCAGUGGGAGCCUCUUAAUGGGGUGACUGCGUACCUUUUGUAUAAUGGGUCAGCGACUUAUAUUCUGUAGCAAGGUUAACCGAAUAGGGGAGCCGAAGGGAAACCGAGUCUUAACUGGGCGUUAAGUUGCAGGGUAUAGACCCGAAACCCGGUGAUCUAGCCAUGGGCAGGUUGAAGGUUGGGUAACACUAACUGGAGGACCGAACCGACUAAUGUUGAAAAAUUAGCGGAUGACUUGUGGCUGGGGGUGAAAGGCCAAUCAAACCGGGAGAUAGCUGGUUCUCCCCGAAAGCUAUUUAGGUAGCGCCUCGUGAAUUCAUCUCCGGGGGUAGAGCACUGUUUCGGCAAGGGGGUCAUCCCGACUUACCAACCCGAUGCAAACUGCGAAUACCGGAGAAUGUUAUCACGGGAGACACACGGCGGGUGCUAACGUCCGUCG
rnacentral:rRNA from 1 species